UACAGAGGGUGCGAGCGUUAAUCGGAAUUACUGGGCGUAAAGCGUGCGUAGACGGCUAUCUAAGUCGGGUGUGAAAGCCCCAGGCUCAACCUGGGAAGUGCAUUCGAUACUGCGUGGCUUGAGUAUCGGAGAGGUUGGUGGAAUUCUCGGUGUAGAGGUGAAAUUCGUAGAUAUCGAGAGGAACACCGGUGGCGAAGGCGGCCAACUGGACGAAUACUGACGCUGAGACACGAAAGCGUGGGGAGCAAACAGG
rnacentral:rRNA from 1 species